UGGGGAACAUGACCUUCGGCGGGGGAUAGCCGGCCCAACGGCCGGGUAAUACCGCGUACGACCACUUGGGGACAUCCCUAGGUGGUGAAAGCAGCAAUGCGCCGAUGGAGUGCUUCGCGGCCUAUCAGCUAGUUGGUGAGGUAACGGCUCACCAAGGCGACGACGGGUAGCUGGUCUGAGAGGGUGACCGGCCACACUGGGACUGAGAUACCGGCCCAGACUCCGUACGGGGAGGCAGAGGU
rnacentral:rRNA from 1 species